rnacentral:rRNA from 1 species
CCUACGGGAGACAGCAGUGAGGAAUAUUGGUCAAUGGGCGCGAGCCUGAACCAGCCAAGUAGCGUGAAGGAUGACUGCCCUACGGGUUGUAAACUUCUUUUAUAAAGGAAUAAAGUGAGGCACGUGUGCCUUUUUGUAUGUACUUUAUGAAUAAGGAUCGGCUAGCUCCGUGCCAGCAGCUCCGGUAAGAUGGAGGAUACGAGCGUUAUGCGGAUUGAUUGGGUUUAAAGGGAGCGUAGAUGGGUUGUUAAGUCAGUUGUGAAAGUUUGCGGCUCAACCGUAAAAUUGCAAUUGAUACUGGCAGCCUUGAGUACAGUUGAGGUAGGCGGAAUUCGUGGUGUAGCGGUGAAAUGCUUAGAUAUCACGAAGAACUCCGAUUGCGAAGGCAGCUUACUAAACUGCCACUGACAUUGAUGCUCGAAAGUGUGGGUAUCAAACAGGAUUAGAUACCCGAGUAGUC